rnacentral:rRNA from 1 species
UACGGAGGGUGCGAGCGUUGUCCGGAAUCACUGGGCGUAAAGGGCGCGUAGGUGGCGCGGGAAGUCAACGGUGAAAGUUCGGGGCUCAACCCUGAAUCGGCCGUCGAUACUCCCGGGCUCGAGCACUGUAGAGGCAGAUGGAAUUCCGGGUGUAGCGGUGGAAUGCGUAGAGAUCCGGAAGAACACCGGUGGCGAAGGCGGUCUGCUGGGCAGUUGCUGACACUGAUGCGCGACAGCGGUGGGGAGCAAACACGGA